rnacentral:lncRNA from 1 species
UUUUUUUUUUUUUUUUUUUUUGGGGCCACACCUGCAGCGUAUGGAAAUUCCCCGGCUAGGGGUCGAAUUGGAGCUGCAGCUUCUGGCCUACACCACAGUCACAGCAAUGCGGAAUCCGAGCAGCAUCUGCAGCUGAUGCCACAGCUCACGGCAAUGCUGGAUCUCCGACCCACUGAACGAGGCCUGGGAUCGAACCCACAUCCUCAUGGAUACUAGCCGGAUUCAUUUUUGCUGUGCCACAAGGGGAAUUCUGAGAUCCCUAUCACUUUAACCAUAACUCUAUCUAAAACUGAAGGGCCAUUGUUAUCUUCAAAUUAAGAAAGAAACAAGGGAACUAACUUUUAUGUUUCUGAAGGGAGUUCCACCGUGUACCAUGCAGACAGGUUUAAACAGCAUUUCAGGUUAUUCACUAACCUCUGUCUCAGAUUGUCACAUCCACUUUCAAAUUUUAGAUGAAAACAAGACCCCCCCCCCCAUUUUCUCUCUCGUAGACUGUCUUUUUAAAAUAGCAAACCUUGGCGUUCCCGUCGUGGCACAGCAGAAACGAAUCCCACUAGGAACCAUGAGAUUGCGGGUUCAAUCCCUGGCAUCGCUCAGUGGGUUAAAGAUCCGGCAUUGCCGUGAGCUGCAGUGUAGGUUGCAGACACAGCUUAGAUCUGGUGUUGCUGUAGCUCUGGCGUAGGCUGGCAGCAACAGCUACGAUUAGACCCCUAGCCUGGGAAUCUCCAUAUGCCUUGGUUGUGGCCCUAAAAGGACAAAAAGACAAAAAUAAAAAAUAAAAUAGCAAACCUUGAACAUGUUAUAGGUGGCUGACAGCCACGGAUAUUAUUUUCAGCCCCUUUUAAUGUCUGAAAAUAUGUCAUCCAUUGUGUUCUAUAAAGGGUUUUGAUUUUCUGUCCCAUUUUAAGGAUGUUUGGAAGGCCUCUUGCAAAUAACACAAGAGCAAAUUUACAUUACAACCAUUCGACAUUUAAAGCAUUUGUUUCUUUACGUUCUGUCCUUGUAACUCUUUUGAGAUGUAUUGGUUCACGUCAUUGACAAGUUCACAUCAGAGCUUCAGGAGUGAAGGGAUCUGGGGUCAAAAGUGCUGGUUGUCACUCAGCUCUGUGUCCUGUGAUGGUGUCAGGAGGUGAGGUCUUUGAGCACGGAUUAGGUCAAGAGGAUGGAGCCAGAGACCUCCUGCAUAAAACCUCUCCAGGGCUGCUUUCCCCACGCCCUCCGUGGUAAAUGGGGCCAUGGGCAAACAGCCCAGACUGCCCGUGGGAACCCGUGGCGGCCCUGGUUAAGGGAAGAUGCUAGCAGCAGUUGGUAAUCAGCCUUGCCGACUCCUCCCAGAGGCCCAGCGUUCACGGUCCUGACUCUGGUCCUAGUUCCUGUUUGUCAGAUUUGGAGCCUGUGCCUCUGUCCCCAGCUCCUCUGUCCCCUACGGGCAGCCGUAUCUGCACCCCUGCCCAUCACCUUUAACUGUUCACAGGGUACCCUCUGGUGAGUGUCCAGCCUCACCCUUCCCAGGAAUAUCCAGGGGAAAUGCACUGCCAUCCUCAUAAUGUCCAAACCGCAGACGUGUCCCCAGUGCACGGCAAUGAUUCUGGUCAAGGGGCUACUAUGAACUUGGGAAGAGUCUCCAGGCACAUAACAUGGGGCUCUAGGUCGGUGAGUCCAGUCUCUGGCUAUCUCCAGCCUCUUUCACCCGCACUGAAUCAUCAGUAACAACCGUGUGUUGUCCUAUAAAGGUCUCAUUUUAUUGCAGUCUCCCCACUGAAGAUGGAGACACUGAUACGGUGUGAUAGACACACACAUUAAAGGAGUUGAUAAUUACAUUUCUUUAAGCUCAUAUUGAAACAAUCACACACUUACAAAAGGGUUGCAGAAAAAAUAUAAAGCACUGCUGUGUGUCCUUCAGUAUCCCCAGAUGUCACGCAGCCACAGUCCAAUGAUCGAGAUCAAGAUACAAACAUUGAUGCAACUACCUUAACUCGUCUAGAGUCACUAUUCAAUAUUUGCCACAUCUCCUACUAACGUCCUUUUUUUGGCUCAGGUUCACGUAUUGCCUUUACUUGUCAAACCUUCAUAGAAAAGUCAACGUGUCUGACCACUAUGUGCUGGGCCUGCUCCUAAGUCAGACUCCACGCAUCUCAUUUCAUCCUAACAAUCUUGUUAGUUUGGCUUCUGUUAUGGUUAACUGACAGUCAGAAUGACGUUCAGAGAAGUUCAUUAAUUUGGUGGAGGUCACACAGCAAUGAACUGUAUACUAGUGUUUGAAUCAGAUCUGUCCUUCUCAGGAGCCUGAACUCUUCACUUCACGCCUCCACACAGCUGGGCAGCAGAUCUCCUCCAAUCACCCCGUCUCAUCAUGUCCUUCUCUUGUCCCAGGUGGCCACAUGUCACUAUAUUCCAGAGCAUGCAGUAUCAUGAUAAAUGUACAGUAGGCUUUCCAAAAAGGGACUCUGAGUGGACAUUCCGGGUAUUUUUUAGAACAUAAGUUGGGUUUGGAAUUGCAGCAAACUUAAUACUAUGCUCUAGCUUCUAGCUUCAAAAAUUGUAUAUAUGGACUCUGAAUUUGUUUCUUAGCAUAUAGUCACUCGAUGCUUGGUUGACUCACUGAUUGCUUUCAGCUCAAAGUUGACAAUAAACAUUCUUUGUUUGUGGCUUGAGUUUACUCAGUACAGCCCAAAUGACGUGUUCAUGACCCUGGUCAAUUUUGCCUGCCAUUAUUUGGUCUUCUUGUCCUUUACUUCAGGGACUAAUUAUAAAUUUGCAACACCUCCCAGAUGACUGAAGUUUCAAAGAAUUCUUUGAGAAUAAAAUAUGGCUUGAUUAAGAGUUGGCUCAAUGACAGCUGAUUUAGGAACUAAGAGUAUUUGCCAAUGGAGGUCAGACGCUGAGGAAUAUCAUAUAUCUCUCUCUGAGACAUGUUUAACUUGGUUUACAGCAAUUUGGACGAACCCGAAAAGGCAUGUUUAUCAAAUCCGCAGAUGACAGACUUAUGAGAUGUUGCUAACAUGAUAAACGACAGACUUGAACUACAAAGGCCUCAACAGGCUAGAACACUUGACUUAAACUGCAAGAUGAAAUUAAACAGAUAUAUUGUCAAGGCCUGUAUUUAGGAUCCAAAAAUCAAUUGCACAAGUACUGGAUAGGGAAAACCUGGAUUUAUAGCCAUUCAUGUGGAAAGAUGUGGGAAGAGUUUCAAUAGACCACAAACUGCAUGGAGCCAAGAGCAGAUCUGGCUACUGUGAAAAAGACCACCAUUGUACCGCAUCCAGAGAGGAGGAAUAAACAGAACAAAAUAAACCAUCAUCCCAGUGUGCUUGGGCUGGCCACACAAUCUUGUGGGGAUUAUACUCCAUUUGGAGGGCAAUAUUUUAGAAUGGAAACUCUAGAAAACACUUCGGUGUGACUGUUCGAGACUUCGAGGUGUCCUAAAACUGAUGUCAUAAGGAGGGAAACAGGUCCUGGUCAGCCAGAGGAGUGGCUCUAAGCCCGGUUAAGUGUCAGAAACACCUAGGCAGAUUCUGAUGCAGGUUGGGUGCAGAAUCCAGACAUCAGCAUUUUUAAAAGAUUUCCAGGUAUUUCUGAUGAACAGCCAAGACUUAGAGCCACAGGCCUAAGGAAUAAAGACUGAAUUCCUUAGCUUGGAUUUCAAAGAAGUAUAUGUUUGCCUUGAGACUACCCUCCUACCUAAUUCCCACUAUCCAUUUGCUGUGGAUGGAACUGUGUCCCCCUAAAAGAUAUGGUGGCGUUCUACCCUCCAGCGACUUCAUUUGGAAGUAGGGUCUUUGCAGAUGUAAUCAGGUUAAGAUGAGGUCAUACUCUACCAAAGUGAGUCCAAUUCAUCGUGGUUGGUGUCCUCAAAAGAGGAGAAAACAGAGACACACAAACACCAAGGGAAGGCGGCCAUGUGAAGAUGGAGGCAGAGACUGGAGCGGUGCUGCCACAAGCCCAGAGACACCUGGAGCCACGGGAAGCUGGAAGGGGUAAGACAGGGUCCUCCUCGAGAGCCCUCGGGAGCACGGCUCUGCCGAUACCAGGAUUUUAGGCAUCUGGUCUCCAGACCUUGGGACUUUUCAUUUCUGUAGUUGAAGCUGCCUAGUUCAUUACAAAGGCCCAGAGAACUACUAAGGCACCCAGGGUCCUCGAGCAGCAAAACAAGAGUUCCUCCUGGCCCCUUGUGCCAGUCCCUCCUACCUUCUCCCGCACAGUCUCUCAGCCUCCCCAGCCUCCCACGUCUGAGUCCUACUGACCCUCCACAGGCCUGCUCCGCCCUGAGACCACAUGGACCGCCACCCGGACACCCCUCAGCAGCACUUCGUCUGAUUGGCCCCCUUGCAUUUGGGGUCGGUGCUGCAGCACGUUCACCAUGUCCUAGCUCAUGCAGGACAAAGCCUGUUGCCCCUACCGAGCCACGAGAUGCCAGAGGACAGACUCUGUGACCAUCAUUUCAGUAACCAAAGCACCUAGCGCCAUGCUUUACACUUAACAUGCACGUAUCAAGUAUCUAUUAAAGGUCUGGAAACAUACAAGGAGGCAGCUAAAAGACACACAAUAGCUACCUUGAGAUGUUUAACCAUCAGUUGGACAAGAAUGUGGGCAUUUUGGGGUUCCAGAACCAAAAGGAACUUGGAGAAGCAAACGACCCUCCUCACAACUCAAGAGUGUCCAGGAGUGAAACAAAUUGCCUAGAGAAAGGAUGACCCCUCUGUGUCUGGAAGCUUAAUGCAGAAAUCAUUGCUGUUUGGCCAGGGCUUCCACAGCUAGGUUUAUAAACUGAGGUCUGGAGAUGAGUUCCAGAGGGGAGACAUUUGUGUGUGGAUUUAAGAACUUGAGUCUGGGUGAAACCACCCAGAGACAGGUGUGUGUAGACAGAGGAGAGGGGGGAACCCACCAAACGGAAGGGCAGGGCCUCCCAGCAUCUGCUGGCGGGAAAGGUGAGGAGCCGGAGCAGGAGAGUGAGCAAGAAGGCGGUGUUGGGGCACAGCCAGGGCAAGGGGAGGGUCUGCUGUGUCUGCACAGCCGCCCCUCGCUUCUUAGGUCUCCUCUCUGAGGCACCUGAUCCGGAGGCCUCCCAGGACCACACAGCUACUGCUCCCCCAGCGGUGGGCACCCCAGCCCCUUCCCCUGCUCUGCUGUUCUGCGCAGGCCCCCUGGAAGAGCCCACAUGCCUGGCUCAUCUUCUCUUUCCCAGCUGAGCUCCAAGGUCACAUAGCAUGGCGACUCACAGAUCUGGGUGCUCCCAGUGCAAGCAUGCUGGCUAAUUUAGGGGACAGCACACAGCAGGUACCAGCAUUUAGGUAUUUUGUUGUUGAAAAAUACUUCUGUUAGCAACUUACAGAAAAACCUUUGAAAUCCUAAUGGUCUCCCACAUUUUGACUAGAGAUGACAUUUCAUGACAAUCAGAUCCAACGUACUAGUAUCAAUCUAAUUUCCACUCAUUCAUCAAUUCAUUCUACAAAGAUUGAGACCUAUUGUGAACAGCCGGUGUAAUACAUGCUGGCGAUAAACAGUGAUGAAGAGAAGCAGGCCCUGUGCCUCCCCUCCGCCAGCUUCCAGUCCAGUGCAGAGAGGGAGAUUUCACAAAACCCAGCAAAUACCUUUAUAAUUACAAACGUUGAUGUGUGCUCUGCAGGAAGAGCACAGGGCACUCUGAGAGACAUAAUUGCUGUGGAGCCCUUUCUGAAGAGGCCUCAUUUCAUCAGAGACCUACCCCUGGCAGUUGGCAGCUCUGCAGUUCAUUGGGAGGUCUCCAGGAGGUCACUCCAGUGGUUGAGGCCAGGAGUUUGCUACAAAAUCAACUGCAGCCACCUUCCUGGUGUAAAAAUAGCAUCUCCCUCUGCUUACUGCUUACGGAGUUGGGUUGCUCAGCAACCUGUUUUUUUCCUUUCUUUUUGACUCUCUUUGUACACUAAUUUUUCAUUGGCCCUUUGCGUAAUUCGUCAGGAAAGGCCGAUUGGUCAGAGCAAUCU